UGAGAAUAUAAGUACACAAAUGUACAAGAAGUUGUGUUCAUAAUAGCCUCAAACUAGAAACAAACGGAAUAUCCAUCAGCAAUGAGAUGGCUUAAUAAUCAUUGCAUAUUCAGGCCUCCAGUGCCCUGCUGUUGUCUACACACAGAGACACAGAUCCCCCGUGUUCUGACUUUGCCCAUUUCCAUGCCAGCCCUCUAGUCCUAGCUGCCUGGUUUCUUCCUGAAUUGCUGCAGUUGGCUCCUAUUGCUCAGCCAACAUCCACUCCGGAGGUCUGCCUUAAGGCUACUUCCCUCUCUGGGAUUGUGGGAGUCGUGUGUAUAUCCUUAACAUCUGUUGCUAUGCCUGGUGAAUAGCAAGUGGUCAAAAUACACCUGGUUCCAAAAAACCUGAGAAAACAAAUUAUUAAUCAGAAGAUUACUCGGUGGGCAUGGAUUCAGAGUAAAAAAUUAUUAAAUGGGUUCAGCAGAUUUACCACAAGCCAUGAAGAUUCCAGUGAGCUAUAUAUAGUCCUCUGUGCUGGCCACUGUUUCCUGUCCCAGGAGUUCUUGGAGACUUGAAG
ensembl:lncRNA